CGCCCGUCGCUCCUACCGAUUGGGUGUGCUGGUGAAGUGUUCGGAUUGGCGGCCGGGGGCGGUUUCCGCCCUCGGCCGCCGAGAAGUUCAUUAAACCCUCCCACCUAGAGGAAGGAGAAGUCGUAACAAGGUUUCC
rnacentral:rRNA from 1 species